rnacentral:misc_RNA from 1 species
AACUUUUGGCAAUGGAUCACUUGGCUCUCGCAUCGAUGAAGAACGCAGCGAAAUGCGAUACGUAAUGUGAAUUGCAGAAUUCCGUGAAUCAUCGCAUCUUUGAACGCACCUUGCGCCUCUUGGUAUUCCGAGGGGCAUGCCUGUUUGAGUGUCAUGAAGCCAUCAAUGAGGACCUUUCUUUUUGGAGAGUGGCUUUCUUGUUGGAAUGUGGAGUGUGCUGGCUUGUUCAGCGCCUCUGAAAUGCAUUAGCGAUGUGGUGUUCCACCUGCUUGAGCUUGCAUUGGCAUUGAUAGUCAUUCAUGUCAGAGUAGUUCAGCUGUGGAAAGGUUCACUUGCUCCUAAUUGCGAUGGACUCCAUCCAUCCUUUGACCCAUAUAACCUCAAAUCAGGCAGGACUACCCGCUGAACUUAAGCAUAUCAAUAAGCGGAGGCU